CUGGCACCUACACACACGCAACCUCUCAGAAAAGGAACGCAGCGCAUCAUCACUCGGCGCCCUGGCAUAUCGACAAACCAUAUACACCCUACCCCCACGCCUCAGCUCCACAGACAUCCCUUCUUGUCCUGCUCCGUUCGCAGCCGUGCAAGCACGGACACACCAUCACCCCUACCUCCUACCUACACUAUUAUGCCCAUGAACAAGCCCGCCUUCACCACAAAUGAAGCCCGCGUGGAGCGACUGCAGGCGAACUACGACGAAGGGCUGCUACGCGAGAGUAUGCCAACGGCCGACCGCGAGAAGCGCGACCUGCAGCUUCUCUGUGUGUCCCACGAUAAGCUGAUGUUCCUGUUCCAGAACGCCAUGGAGGGCUACAGCAGGAGUUUGAAGAACCAGAAGGUGAAGGAGUACAACGAGGCUUACAUCAAAACCACCUCGCUACCGUCCAAGGACCACGGCUGCAAGUCGCGCUUCCCCUUCCUAUAAAAUGGAUAUAGCACACAAAAACAAGGCGCAAGGGACGGUGCUAUCGGGAGCUGUGGCACAGGUGUCCCUUGUGGGUCGAAUGGGAUAUCGGGAGCGGACGAGCAUGCGCAAGAGAUGGAAGGUCUGGUAUGCUGCGCGUAUCGUGUGUGUGAGAGGUGCGCACGUCACAAAGAUGGAGUCGAACGUGGAUGCAGUGCGCUGUAGGUCCACGUCACUUCUCACCCCUCCCCUCACAACCACAACCACAACCACCACUGCGACGCACACACCGCAGGCGCCCUCCAGCGUCCUUUCCUUCCUCCACGUCGGCCAUUACCGCGGGGCGCAAGAGCCACAAAAGCCUCGACAAACAUGCCCCUCUCGUCUCUCGCCGUGGCUUCCUUUCAUCCCCGUUCCUCGCCUUCUGCACCCAGCGUGUGAUGCCGCGCGUGUGUACGCUGUGCCUAAUGGUGAAGAGGCAGGAAGAACGAGAACGAAGUCAUCCAUGUUGAUGGCACUCGACCCCGUCCACCGCUGCUUCGUGUCUAACCGACGUCUCUUCGCGCGCUUCUCGGUGGUGGCACGCUAUAUAUAUAUAUAUUCCUGUAUUCUAUGUACGGGCUACGGGUGGCUCGUCAGCAUCCGCGUCAGGAGUCCGUCAGCGUGGUCGGGGCGGGGCCACGAAAGGGUAGAAAGAGAAAAGGUAUGAUACGCCUGUGGCGGAUCGCACAUUGACAAACGUGUGUGUGUGUGUGUGUGUGUGUGUGUGUGUGGUGGUCCGUGGAGGUGCGAGUCACCUCUUCACGCUCCUACUGUGGGUCUUCACAAACUGUGUUUUUUUUCUUCUUUCCUUUUCUGUCGGCGCAUGUGCGGAUGUCCGUUCUUUGCGGUGCUUCGCUGCAGCCGUGAGUGGUGCGCUGUGUCGCCGAGGCUGGGGCGGCAAAGUAAAAGAGCGCACCCGCAUGUGCGUGUUUGAGCGAGAAAACAGAGAAGGCGCAAGCAAAAGGUCGGAAUGGGCGCGAUCGAGGCAACG
rnacentral:misc_RNA from 1 species